rnacentral:rRNA from 1 species
AGAGUUUGAUCCUGGCUCAGAACGAACGCUGGCGGCAUGCCUAACACAUGCAAGUCGAACGAGACCUUCGGGUCUAGUGGCGCACGGGUGCGUAACGCGUGGGAAUCUGCCCUUGGGUUCGGAAUAACAGAGAGAAAUUUCUGCUAAUACCGGAUGAUGACGUAAGUCCAAAGAUUUAUCGCCCAAGGAUGAGCCCGCGUAGGAUUAGCUAGUUGGUGAGGUAAAAGCUCACCAAGGCGACGAUCCUUAGCUGGUCUGAGAGGAUGAUCAGCCACACUGGGACUGAGACACGGCCCAGACUCCUACGGGAGGCAGCAGUGGGGAAUAUUGGACAAUGGGCGAAAGCCUGAUCCAGCAAUGCCGCGUGAGUGGUGAAGGCCUUAGGGUUGUAAAGCUCUUUUACCCGGGAAGAUAAUGACUGUACCGGGAGAAUAAGCUCCGGCUAACUCCGUGCCAGCAGCCGCGGUAAU